UACGUAGGGUGCAAGCGUUGUCCGGAAUUAUUGGGCGUAAAGAGCUCGUAGGCGGUCUGUCGCGUCGGCUGUGAAAACUCGGGGCUCAACUCCGAGCUUGCAGUCGAUACGGGCAGGCUAGAGUUCGGCAGGGGGAGACUGGAAUUCCUGGUGUAGCGGUGGAAUGCGCAGAUAUCAGGAGGAACACCGGUGGCGAAGGCGGGUCUCUGGGCAGUAACUGACGCUGAGGAGCGAAAGCGUGGGGAGCGAACAGG
rnacentral:rRNA from 1 species